UGACGCAGCCUGCCGCGUGUGUGAAGAAGGCCUUAGGGUUGUAAAGCACUUUCAAUUGGGAAGAAAAGUUUGUCGUUAAUAGCGCCAAGCUCUGACAUUACCUUUAGAAGAAGCACCGGCUAACUCCGUGCCAGCAGCCGCGGUAAUACGGAGGGUGCGAGCGUUAAUCGGAAUUACUGGGCGUAAAGCGCGCGUAGGCGGUUUGUUAAGUCAGCUGUGAAAGCCCCGGGCUCAACCUGGGAACUGCAGUUGAUACUGGCCGACUAGAGUACGAGAGAGGGAGGUAGAAUUCCAUGUGUAGCGGUGAAAUGCGUAGAUAUAUGGAGGAAUACCAGUGGCGAAGGCGGCCUCCUGGCUCGAUACUGACGCUGAGGUGCGAAAGCGUGGGGAUCAAACAGGAUUAGAUACCCUGGUAGUCCACGCCGUAAACGAUGUCUACUAGCCGUUGGGAGACUUGAUUUCUUAGUGGCGCAGCUAACGCAAUAAGUAGACCGCCUGGGGAGUACGGCCGCAAGGUUAAAACUCAAAUGAAUUGACGGGGGCCCGCACAAGCGGUGGAGCAUGUGGUUUAAUUCGAUGCAACGCGAAGAACCUUACCAGGUCUUGACAUCCUGCGAAUUUUCUAGAGAUAGAUUAGUGCCUUCGGGAACGCAGUGACAGGUGCUGCAUGGCUGUCGUCAGCUCGUGUCGUGAGAUGUU
rnacentral:rRNA from 1 species